rnacentral:rRNA from 1 species
UACGUAGGGUGCAAGCGUUAAUCGGAAUUACUGGGCGUAAAGCGUGCGCAGGCGGUUUUGUAAGUUUGUCGUGAAAUCCCCGGGCUCAACCUGGGAAUGGCGAUGAAGACUGCAAGGCUAGAAUCUGGCAGAGGGGGGUGGAAUUCCACGUGUAGCAGUGAAAUGCGUAGAGAUGUGGAGGAACACCGAUGGCGAAGGCAGCCCCCUGGGCUGAGAUUGACGCUCAGGCACGAAAGCGUGGGGAGCAAACAGG